GAGAAGAGUUGGGCCUGCCUCGGUGAUUAAAUUUUUAACAGCUGCGGUAUUAUAACUGUACUAAGGUAGCAUAAUAAUUUGCUCUAUAAAUUAGGGCUAGAAUGAAUGGUUUGACGAGAAUUAAACUGUCUCUAUUUUAUUUAUUAGAAAUUAAUUUUUAUAGUGAGAAAGCUUAAAUGGUUUAAAGGGACGAAAAGACCCUAUUGAGCUUGUGUUAAUAAAUAAAUAUUAUAUAUAUAUAUAUAUAUAUAUAUAUAUAUAUAUAUUAUUCUUAUUAAAUUUGAUUGGGGUGAUCAAGGAAUAAAAAAGUGAAUUUAACUUCCUUAAAAUUUAUAUUAAUGGGUUAAUAAACCAAGUUUUUUGCUUAAAAGAUAAGUUACCAUAGGGAUAACAGCGUAAUUUUUUUUGAGAGUUCAUAUUGAAAAAAGA
rnacentral:rRNA from 1 species